rnacentral:rRNA from 1 species
CUGGCGGCAUGCCUAACACAUGCAAGUCGAACGGUAACGCGAGGAGCUUGCUCCUUGGCGACGAGUGGCGGACGGGUGAGUAAUGCUUGGGAAUCUGCCCAGUAGUGGGGGACAACACGAGGAAACUCGUGCUAAUACCGCAUACGUCCUACGGGAGAAAGUGGGGGAUCUUCGGACCUCACGCUACUGGAUGAGCCCAAGUCGGAUUAGCUUGUUGGUGGGGUAAAGGCCUACCAAGGCAACGAUCCGUAGCUGGUCUGAGAAGACGAUCAGCCACACUGGGACUGAGACACGGCCCAGACUCCUACGGGAGGCAGCAGUGGGGAAUAUUGGACAAUGGGGGCAACCCUGAUCCAGCAAUGCCGCGUGUGUGAAGAAGGCCUGCGGGUUGUAAAGCACUUUCAGUAGGGAAGAAAUGCCUGGAGUUAAUAGCUCCGGGUCUUGACGUAACCUACAGAAGAAGCACCGGCUAACUCCGUGCCAGCAGCCGCGGUAAUACGGAGGGUGCGAGCGUUAAUCGGAAUUACUGGGCGUAAAGCGCGCGUAGGCGGCUAGGUCAGUCGAAUGUGAAAGCCCUGGGCUUAACCUGGGAAUUGCAUCCGAUACUGCUUGGCUAGAAUAUGGGA